UUACGGCCAUAUUGCGUUGAAAUAUUGGUUCCCCUACGAUCACCAAAGCUAAGCAACGUCGAGCCUUAUCAAUACCGAGACGAGUGUCCGCGCGAGAAAACCAGGUGUUGUAAG